rnacentral:lncRNA from 1 species
UUUCUUUUUAAACUUUCGACCGGUAAAAUAAUAACAGAAUAUAUUGUAUACAAUUUUUUUUUCAACGUAAUUUCUUAUUAUAUAGUUAUAGAGGCAAAAAAAUGAUUACUUUUUUUAUGUAUACGGACCGUCUAUAACGAAGAAAAUACGGCGCAGUUUGUCCGCCUAUAUACUUAUAAGUUUACUGAAUAUAAUAUCAUUUUCGUUAAACAAAUUUAAUAUUGUACGAGAGGUUACAUUAUACGCACAAUAAUAUUCUCGAGGGCUGUGUCGAAUUGACAUAAUUUUAUAUAGGUACCUAUAUACUACUCUCCUUUUCGUCCAAUCCGACACGGUUACAUAGAUACUUAAUUGACCGUUAGCCAAACCGCAUGCGGACCUCCAGUACUGUACAUAAUAAUAUUAAUUUUAUUGUAUUAUGAUUUGAAAAUUCUCGAAGAACAAAUACAAUCAGAAUCUAAAUAUAAAUUUAAAAAAAGAGAGAGACAAAGGCUAAUACUGUAGCUGAUUGAUAUGGUAUGGUAUGAGUAUAUAUGACACUGUUUUAAAAUGUAAACUGAAAGGGAGGAUGUAAAGAGAAAAUUUAUUUACAUCUUAUGCGACGUUAAUCCGAUUCUGAGCAGAGUAUUAUUAAUCGUGUCAGUUUUGCCCGGAAAUCGAUAAAAUGUGUAUAAAAUUAAAACAAUCGCCAGUAUUUAUCCAUUUGUUAAGAAGACUAUAAGAUGAAAAAAAUAACCUCUUAAAUGCGCCAAUUAGAUCGAAAAUUCUACAAAAACGUUCAUUAAAGAGUUUUUGAUCGGAACAAGAUUUCCGAUAUAAAAGAUGUUUAUACAGACACAUACACGAAAUAAAACACAUCAUAGUGGAACCAAUAUACAUUUUUCGCUUGGUUUAUAAUUUAAAAGUAAAAUCGAUAUAAUAAACAAAAGAAACGUCCGAGUUCGAGUGGGUAUCCUGUAUAAUAUACUAAACAGAAGUACAAUGUACUGAAAACCGAUUAAAAAUACUUGAGGGGAUGACGAUUCGUUAAUAGGUACUCGUAUGGUACUCAACUUCCUCCAUCACUGCAUCAUACCGACCCAUCGGACAGAAUCAAAUUUUAACGUAAUGUUAUUUAUUUUUUGCUCAACUAUAACGCCUGUAAUGGGAAAUUGUCGAAAGAAAAAUUAACCAGAGAAAAAACGGAGAAAAGAAAAACGCCUGAAUUAAAGAAUGAACGCUAAUAUUCUCUCUUGUUGUAUAAUAAAUUAUAUUCGCAGACAAGUAGAAGACGAUUUUUACUUUUCAUUAAAUAUAAUUUAACCGACGCCGCGGAAACUUUGUUUUUUUCUAGAUAUUUAGGCUAAAAUAUAGCAAUUUAUUUUUUAUUUUCGUACAUUAUUUGCAACACCAUAUUAUAAGAAUCGAAAAAAAUAUUAUCAAGGUAUAGUAUUAUUAUCAGAUGACUUUAUUGAAAUAUCGGUCAAGGCGUUUUUUCGCAUUACAUAUUUUAAUUGAGAUAGUAUUUCAAAUUACGAAAAUAGAUUUUCCAAAGAAAAAUAAGAUCAAUUAUUAUUUUAUUAUAAAUGAUGUUUAUACUAUUUCAGUUUGGCUAAAUGUAAAAAAUGUCCGUUUAUAAGAUAACAAUUGCUAUCGAGUAAUGUAAAAACCAAACAUAAACGUGUAUAUAAAAUUAUAGGCGUUCAAUCAAAGAAAAACCGUAAAAGUGAAAAAUCAUCAAAAUAUUUUUUAGAGUUCUGCAAAAAUUAAGAAUUACACUUUAUGCACUCUCCUAAAACGACGCAGUACCGAUAUGAUACAAACGCUCCACUACACUAAAUUUGCAUUCAGUAGGACCAAUUUUGUGCCGGUAGUUUUAUCAUCAAAGUAUUAUUGAUCUAUAAUAAAAUUUAAAAAUAACGAUACUAUCUAUGUUUGUACAAAAGUUCUUUUGUUCUCGUUAUUUAAAU